rnacentral:rRNA from 1 species
UACGGGGGGGGCAAGCGUUGUUCGGAAUUACUGGGCGUAAAGGGUUCGUAGGCGGCCAACUAAGUCAGACGUGAAAUCCCUCAGCUCAACUGGGGAACUGCGUCUGAUACUGGAGGGCUUGAGUGCGGGAGAGGGAUGUGGAAUUCCAGGUGUAGCGGUGAAAUGCGUAGAUAUCUGGAGGAACACCGGUGGCGAAGGCGGCGUUCUGGACUGCAACUGACACUGAGGAACGAAAGCCAGGGGAGCAAACGGG